GAAGAUUGGUGAUAAAGAAAUGCAAAAAAAAAAAGUGGCCGUCAAUCAAGAUGAUAAAUCAAAUCUUUCUGUUUGUGAAGCCAUUCUAGGGGCCGCGAAGCAAACAAACAAAGAAAAAAGAGGGUGUCUCCCCACCUGCCGCCCAGUGACUGCUGGGAUAGGCUCCAGCAUCCUCACGACCCUGAGAGCAGGAUGAGCGGAAUAUCAAUUAUGAUGCCUGUCCAGGGUGUCUCCCUGCCUGCCGCCCAGUGACUACUGGGAUAGGCGUCCCCGCGACCCUGAGAGCAGGAUAAGCAGUUUGGAUAAUGGAUGGAUG